rnacentral:lncRNA from 10 species
ACUAGGAAGGUGGGACGUUGGAGGGGUGGCCGCAUGGAGUGAGUACUGUCUCUGGCCACCGAGCAGAGCCAGUGACAGCAGCGUCCUGGUAGGCAGGCAGGCGUAUCAGGUUUCAGAGGAUGCGGCUGGGAACGGGAGUAGAGGUAUAUGAGCUCCCUGAAAGCACAAAGCAGUUAUUUCCAUCUUCAGAUCAUUCAGAGAUUAUGAAGGCACAAACCCUGCCUUCAAUUUGCUUAUAGUCAAGUGGAGCAGACACAAGUCAAUGAUUGCAGUAUAGCCACUGAAGUAAUCUAAAAGAGGUGAGUGUGGCACUUAACCUCUCCUGGGAGGGGGAGGAAUAAGGCAGUGUUUCCAAGAGGUGAUUUUGGAGCUAUACAGGCAUUAGGUAGACAAGGAAGGGGAGGUCCAUUCUGGGUGCCUAGGACUCUGUGGCUGAUUUAUAAAUCGUAAAUGGUACAAAAAACAGUGUUGAGUAUCUUUUACCUUUCUCCAGAGUACUGUUCUUACUUUUGGAUAGUGCUUCUUGUUUUUUCCUUCCCUCUCCCUGUCCCUGUCACCUUUAAAUUAAAUGAAUGUUUGGAAGGAAGUAGGAGGGUAAGAAUCUUUCUGGGUGGCAGAAUAAUAGAUGGGUCUACCAAGAGCGAUGUAUAUACCCAGUAAAGCCAUCUCUAAAACUGUGUUUCUGCAUUGUUACAGUGCAUAGUUGGGAAAUCUCAGUUUUGUUGGCUGUGUACUUUCCCAGUGAAUGGAUUAUAUUCCUUUCUGCGAGCCAGUCUGUUUGAAUUUAAGGGCAUCUCUUAAAUUCCUUUCAAGCAAGAGACCUAACAUUUAUACUUAGGAAUGAGAGUAGUAGAGACAGCAAGAUUAGAAUCCAAGUUCAUAUACCAAAACAUUUUUAUUUGCUAUGUCUGAGUGACUACAUGUUGUUUGAAUCAACUGCAGGCUAAUUUGUAACAUUUCAAAUAAAUGAUAGUUUAAUUCCUCCAGGAUUUGAGUAAGGUGAAAAUAGAGCUAAAAACCAUGAUUCUGUCACAGUCUGGGAAAAUGAAAAAGCAAUCAAUUAGUGAGUUGGGCUUAAUUUUUUUUUUUUUUUUUUCUGGAACUGGUGAUAGCAGAAAACAAGCAGUAAAGUAGUCAGACAUGAUAUACUUGACAAGAACCACCACCUGUUCAGUAGCAACUCUAAAAUAAGUACUAACUUAGGGGCAGUUGUUGUGCCCAGGUCAUAGUCAUACUCCUUCCAGGAGACUUCCUGAUGACAGAAAAGAUGCUGACCAGCUGGGGUCUUCUUUCCAAAUAACUUUUCUCUUGCAUUUAGAUUAAUUAACCAUUGGUUACAGUGAAACAAGCAUAUGUACAGAGUUAAUCUCCUAUAGCUUGAAGUUAUACAUGAUCUUUAUUUGAGUAUCUUGACUUGUUAAAGGACAGUGUUUUAAAAGCUGGAUUUGGUUAUGUUCUUCUGGAGACUAAGAAAAUAGAGUCCUUGAAAUCAAGCUGACUCUGCUUUUAGCCUCCUAAAUGAAAAGGUAGAUAGAACAGGUCUUGUUUGCAAAAUAAAUUCAAGACCUACUUAUCUACCAACAGCAAUUACACGCUUUCCAUUGUCUUCCUAUAGAAAAUAGGAGUAGUACACUUAUAGAUGAGAAAACUGGAGAAAGACAUAGUGAACAUGUGAGAAUCUUGCUCUACUAAUUGAUAGGAAGGUGACUAGAAAUUGGCGAAGUUUUCUUGGUAAGUUGAGGAGAGGACUUUUCUUAUAGUGCAGUCUGGUAGCUGAACCGCCUUGCAUCAAGACCAAUGUAGUCUUAUUUACAGAAUGCCACAUCACAGUGAAUUGUGCUGUGGACAGCUUCCAGUGUGUGAGUUGUGGAAGAUGAUGAUUUUAACAGAUUUUGGAGGAUGAGAAGUAUUAAGAAGAAGGCCCCACUGUCCAUGCAUUUGCUCUGCUUUUUACUUUUGACCAAGUAUACACUUCAGAAAUAUCUUAUUGGAUGUAUACAAAGUGAUUGUGUGUCAUUUGAACCAGCAGGAAGUAAUUUAUUAAACACACUUUUCUAAAUAAAAGUCAUUUAAUUUUAUCAGAAAUCAGUGUCAUUUUAGAUUGCAAGUCUCAAACCAACUUUCCAAUUCUGACUUGUAAGGGUGCCUUAAAUCCUGAAUACUGUACUCUGUAUUACUAAACCCAUGUUAGUUUACGCCAAGAUUCUGUGGUGGUUUUACAUAUUCUUUUUCCCCUUUGUUAAGGUGGGGAGGCCACAGCUUAUGUGAAUGACUUUCUCAGGAGUUAUAAAGUGAUACAGACUUAUCAGCAGGUUGCAGGUGAACAUGGCCUUGAGGUAAAUCUGUCCCUUGCUGAAUACAGUUUCAGUAGAUUGUUUAUAGUAGUUUCAGGAAUUGAGAUUUUUUACAAAAAUACAAAAGUUUUGCUUGGUUCUGUUCUAGAUGUUUUCUUCUAAAUAAAUGAGAAAGAUGUUUCAACAAAGGCUCUUUAUGCUGAAUAAUUGUGAUGCUUGAAGUUGCUAAUCUGCUUUAAGUGGAUUUUAAAUGUCAGGCAAUUCUAGACAGUUUUUUCUUGGUCAAAUAAAAAUUUAAUUAAAACUUUAUACGUGUUGAGUUUUUAAUCCAUUUAUCCGUGUUCAUACUAACGUGUAGUAUUCCAUAAAGCCUAUUAGAACCCUGAAUUCAAACUUGCCUUCUCUGUGAUAUCCUGUUUCUUACUUGGUAGUUUCUAUUUCAGUAGCUGAGAACUUUUUUUUUUUUUUUUUUUGAGAUGGAGUCUUGAUCUGUGAGCCAUCUCGGCUCACUGCAAGCUCCACCUCCCGGGUUCACGCCAUUCUCCUGCCUCAGCCUCCCGAGUAGCUGGGACUACAGGCGCCCGCCACCAGUCCCGGCUAAUUUUUUUGUAUUUUUAGUAGAGACGGGGUUUCACCGUAUUAGCCAGGAUGGUCUCGAUCUCCUGACCUUGUGAUCCAUCCACCUUGGCCCCCCAAAGUGCUGGGAUUACAGGCGUGAGCCACCGCGCCCGGCCGAGAACAUUUUUAAAUAUACAUGAUAUGUAUCUUUUAAUUGUUUAUAACUGGAACUAUUUCUGUGCUUACAUCUGCUGUCCCUUGUUUCAGAGUAGACAGUCCAGCUUGGCAGGAUAGGUGUGUGUGUGUAUAACGAGUUAUUAAAUUGUCAGUGUGAAUUGUUAAUUCAGGAAUCUGAGCUGCCAUUUAUACGAGUAGGCAGAGUUUAGUAGGAGAUGAGAGUCUUUCAGUUUGUCAGACUUUGCAGGUGCUGGAAAACAUCAGAGGUUUUUUGUUUGUUUGUUUGUUUGUUUUUGAGACAGAGUUGCGCUCUUGUUGCCAAGGCUGGAGUGCAGUGGCACAAUCUCGGCUCACUGCAGCCUCUGCCCCCGGGUUCAAGCAAUUCUCCUGCCUCAGCCUCCUGAGUAGCUGGGAUUACAGGCGCCC